UCCCAGUGUAGCGGUGAAAUGCGUAGGUAUUGGGAGGAACACCAGUGGCGAAGGCGGCUUUCUGGACUGUAACUGACGCUGAGGCUNGAAAGCCAGGGGAGCGAACGGGAUUAGAUACCCCGGUAGUCCUGNCCGUAAACGAUGAAUGCUAGGUGUAGGAGGUAUCGACCCCUCCUGUGCCGGAGUUAACGCAAUAAGCAUUCCGCCUGGGGAGUACGGUCGCAAGACUGAAACUCAAAGGAAUUGACGGGGGCCCGCACAAGCGGUGGAGUAUGUGGUUUAAUUCGACGCAACGCGAAGAGCCUUACCAGGGCUUGACAUUGAGUGAAAGAGCUAGAGAUAGCUUCCUCCCUUCGGGGACACGAAAACAGGUGGUGCAUGGCUGUCGUCAGCUCGUGUCGUGAGAUGUUGGGUUAANNNNNNNNNACGAGCGCAACCCCUGUCCUUUGUUGCCAGCGCGUAAUGGUGGGAACUCAAAGGAGACUGCCGCGGAGAACGCGGAGGAAGGCGGGGAUGACGUCAAGUCAUCAUGCCCCUUAUGUCCUGGGCUACACACGUACUACAAUGGGAUGGACAGAGGGAAGCGAAGGCGCGAGCCGGAGCGGACCCCACAAACCNUCCCCCAGUUCGGAUUGCAGGCUGCAACCCGCCUGCAUGAAGUCGGAAUCGCUAGUAAUCGCAGGUCAGCAUACUGCGGUGAAUACGUUCCCGGGCCU
rnacentral:rRNA from 1 species